AGAACGAACGCUGGCGGCGUGGAUAAGACAUGCAAGUCGAACGCGACUUAUUCGGUUAGCAAUAACCGGGUGAGUUGAGUAGCGAAAGGGUGCGUAACACGUGGGAAUUUACCAAGAAGUGGGGAAUAGCUCGACGAAAGUCGAAUUAAUACCGCAUACGAUCGCAAGAUCAAAGCCGGGGACCGCAAGGCCUGGCGCUUUUUGAGAAGCCCGCGGCCCAUCAGCUAGUUGGCGGGGUAAAAGCCCACCAAGGCUAUGACGGGUAGCUGGUCUGAGAGGACGACCAGCCACACUGGAACUGAGACACGGUCCAGACACCUACGGGUGGCAGCAGUCGAGAAUUUUUCACAAUGGACGAAAGUCUGAUGGAGCGACGCCGCGUGGAGGAUGAAGGUUUUCGGAUUGUAAACUCUGUCACUGCAGAACAAGGAUACACCUGUGAAUAGCCGGUGUAUUUGAUGGUAUGCGGAGAGGAAGGGACGGCUAACUCUGUGCCAGCAG
rnacentral:rRNA from 1 species